GACGAACGCUGGCGGCGUGCUUAACACAUGCAAGUCGAACGGAAAGGCCUGCUUUCCCUUGUGGAUUGCGGGUACUCGAGUGGCGAACGGGUGAGUAACACGUGAGUGAUCUGCCCCCAACUUGGGUAUAAGCCUGGGAAACUGGGUCUAAUUCCCGAUAGGACUGCAGGGUGGUGCCUGUGGUGGAAAACGAUUUUCUAGUGGUUGGGGAUGAGCUCGCGGCCUAUCAGCUUGUUGGUGGGGUAAUGGCCUACCAAGGCGGCGACGGGUAGCCGGCCUGGGAGGGUGGACGGCCACAUUGGGACUGGGAUACGGCCCAGACUCCUACGGGAGGCAGCAGUGGGGAAUAUUGCACAAUGGGCGGAAGCCUGAUGCAGCGACGCCGCGUGGGGGAUGACGGCCUUCGGGUUGUAAACUCCUUUCGACCGAGAGGAAGCCACCUGGUUGGAAGGGUGGUGACGGUAGUGGUAGAAGAAGCACCGGCUAACUACGUG
rnacentral:rRNA from 1 species